UCCCUCCAGAUUUCCUUACCCUUCAAACCUAAGUAAUGGUUUGAAUGGCUUUAAAGAGGAGGAAAGGGAACAAUGAAAUGGACUUGGAGUCCUUAGUGAUAAGCAAAUUUAUCUCAAAUAAAC
rnacentral:snoRNA from 1 species